GAUCAAGUGUCUGAAGGGCAUUUGGUGGAUGCCUUGGCAUGCACAGGCGAUGAAGGACGUGAUACGCUGCGAUAAGCGUCGGGGAGCUGCGAAUAAGCUUUGAUCCGGCGAUUUCCGAAUGGGGCAACCCACUUUCGACUACCGUUAAGUUCUAACCGUUGAGCCGUUGAUGGCCCGAGAGGGUGAUCUGCGGUCUUUGAUGUUGGCGCACUUGCCGUGAUGGCGAGUGUGGCAGCCACAAAGGCCGACCGGCCGUCGGGCCUUAUGGCCCGCCCUCGCGGAGCCGAUCGCGUAGCGAUCUGGCGUGAGCGGCUAGGAUUAACGGUAGUCAGUGAAAGUAUCUUUGGUCUGAAUCCAUAGGGUCAAAGAAGCGAACCCGGGGAACUGAAACAUCUCAGUACCUGGAGGAAAGGACAUCAACCGAGACUCUGUUAGUAGCGGCGAGCGAACGCGGACCAGGCCAGUGGUUUUGAUUGAACAAGCUGAAGACGUUGGAAAGCGUUGCGAGAUUGGGUGACAGCCCCGUAGGCGUAAUUUUGAUCAAGAUCCUUGAGUAGGGCGGGACACGUGAAAUCCUGUUCGAACAUGGGGGGACCACCCUCCAAGCCUAAGUACUCGUGCAUGACCGAUAGCGAACCAGUACCGUGAGGGAAAGGUGAAAAGCACCCCGACGAGGGGAGUGAAAGAGAACCUGAAACCGAAUGCCUACAAACAGUCGAAGCCCGGUCUUCAAAUUCUUCGAAUUUGAAGCCGGUUUCCUUUUAUUGCUUGGCCUCAAGCGCCGGCGGUCGCAUCCGCGACCUUGGCUAACGCGCCAUCAGGCGCGACGGCCGGUCGGCCUUUGGCUGUCCUUGCCAUGUGCGACCCUUUCGGGGUCGCGGGCGCGGACGGUGGCUGACGAGGGCGUCUUCGGGCGUCUUGCGGGCAAGCUUGAGUGUGGCAGGUCCGAGCGCGUCGCCGAUAGGCGACACAUCGCGCGGACAGCCCCGCUUUGAACGAAGCGGCGUCCCGAACGGGACGAAAGCCGAGCGGCCGGAUGGCCGCGCUGGCGACUGAAGCCAAAGCAAUAACAAGGGAGCACGGUCAACAAAUGCGAAGCAUUUGAUGACCGGGUGACGGCGUACCUUUUGUAUAAUGGGUCAGCGACUUAGUCUGGCGAGCAAGCUUAAGCCGAUAGGUGUAGGCGCAGCGAAAGCGAGUCUGAACAGGGCGUUCAGUUCGUCGGAUUAGACCCGAAACCGAGUGAUCUAGCCAUGCGCAGGCUGAAGGUGCGGUAACACGCACUGAAGGGCCGAACCCAUAUCUGUUGCAAUAGAUCGGGAUGACGUGUGGCUAGGGGUGAAAGGCCAAUCAAACUCGGAAAUAGCUGGUUCUCCGCGAAAUCUAUUUAGGUAGAGCGUCGGAUGAAGACCCUCGGGGGUAGAGCACUGGAUGGGCUAUGGGGACUCACCGUCUUACUGAUCCUAACCAAACUCCGAAUACCGAGGAGUCCUAUCCGGCAGACAGACGGCGGGUGCUAACGUCCGUCGUCGAGAGGGCAACAACCCUGACCUCCAGCUAAGGUCCCCAAGUCAUGGCUAAGUGGGAAAGGAUGUGAAGAUCCCAAAACAACCAGGAUGUUGGCUUAGAAGCAGCCAUCAUUUAAAGAAAGCGUAACAGCUCACUGGUCUAAACAAGGGUCUUUGCGCCGAAAAUGUACCGGGGCUGAAGCCAUGCACCGAAGCUGAGGACUUGUCUUAUGGCAAGUGGUAGCGGAGCGUUCCAUAAGCCUGUGAAGCGGUAUCCGUGAGGAGCCGUGGAGGUAUUGGAAGUGCGAAUGCUGACAUGAGUAACGAUAAAGGGAGUGAGAGACUCCCUCGCCGAAAAUCCAAGGGUUCCUGCUUAAAGUUAAUCUGAGCAGGGUUAGCCGGCCCCUAAGCCGAGGCCGAAAGGCGUAGGCGAUGGGAACCACGUUUAAUAUUCGUGGGCCUGAUGGAAAGUGACGGAUCGCGUGUAUCGUAAUCUCUUAUUGGAUUGAGGUUGCGGUGAAGCGGUUCCAGGAAAGAGCUCCAUCUUAUAGACCGUACCCGAAACCGACACAGGUGGAUUGGUAGAGAAUACCCAGGCGCUUGAGAGAACUGUGCUGAAGGAACUCGGCAAAUUGCACGCGUAACUUCGGAAGAAGCGUGACCUCCAUUUACGCAAGUAGGUGGGGGUGGCACAGACCAGGGGGUAGCGACUGUUUAUCAAAAACACAGGGCUCUGCGAAGUCGCAUAAGACGACGUAUAGGGUCUGACGCCUGCCCGGUGCUGGAAGGUUAAGAGGAGAGGUUCACGCCUUGAAUCGAAGCCCCAGUAAACGGCGGCCGUAACUAUAACGGUCCUAAGGUAGCGAAAUUCCUUGUCGGGUAAGUUCCGACCUGCACGAAUGGCGUAACGACUUCCCCGCUGUCUCCAGCACAGACUCAGUGAAAUUGAAUUCCCCGUGAAGAUGCGGGGUUCCUGCGGUCAGACGGAAAGACCCCGUGCACCUUUACUAUAGCUUUACACUGGCAUUCGUGUCGGCACGUGUAGGAUAGGUGGUAGGCUUUGAAGCGUGGACGCCAGUUUGCGUGGAGCCAUCCUUGAAAUACCACCCUUGCCGUCAUGGAUGUCUAACCGCGGUCCGUCAUCCGGAUCCGGGACAGUGUAUGGUGGGUAGUUUGACUGGGGCGGUCGCCUCCUAAAGCGUAACGGAGGCGCGCGAUGGUGGGCUCAGAGCGGUCGGAAAUCGCUCGUCGAGUGCAAUGGCAUAAGCCCGCCUGACUGCGAGACAGACAAGUCGAGCAGAGACGAAAGUCGGUCAUAGUGAUCCGGUGGUCCCCGAGUGGAAGGGCCAUCGCUCAACGGAUAAAAGGUACGCCGGGGAUAACAGGCUGAUGACCCCCAAGAGUCCAUAUCGACGGGGUUGUUUGGCACCUCGAUGUCGGCUCAUCGCAUCCUGGGGCUGGAGCAGGUCCCAAGGGUUUGGCUGUUCGCCAAUUAAAGCGGUACGUGAGCUGGGUUCAGAACGUCGUGAGACAGUUCGGUCCCUAUCUGCCGUGGGUGUCGGAGCAUUGACAGGAUCUGUCCCUAGUACGAGAGGACCGGGAUGGACGGAUCUCUGGUGGACCUGUUGUGGCGCCAGCCGCAUUGCAGGGUAGCUAUAUCCGGUCGGGAUAACCGCUGAAGGCAUCUAAGCGGGAAACCCACCUGAAAACGAGUGCUCCCUAUCAGGGCCGUGGUAGACCACCACGUCGAUAGGCCGGGUGUGGAAGCAGGGCAACCUGUGAAGCUUACCGGUACUAAUCGCCCGAACGAACUUGAUCGU
rfam:Fulvimarina pelagi HTCC2506 scf_1100011000323 genomic scaffold, whole genome shotgun sequence.